rnacentral:rRNA from 1 species
AUUGAACGCUGGCGGCAUGCCUUACACAUGCAAGUCGAACGGCAGCACGGGAGCAAUCCUGGUGGCGAGUGGCGAACGGGUGAGUAAAGUAUCGGAACGUGCCCAGUCGUGGGGGAUCACGUAGCGAAAGUUACGCUAAUACCGCAUACGAUCUAUGGAUGAAAGCGGGGGAUCGCAAGACCUCGCGCGAUUGGAGCGGCCGAUAUCAGAUUAGGUAGUUGGUGGGGUAAAGGCUCACCAAGCCGACGAUCUGUAGCUGGUCUGAGAGGACGACCAGCCACACUGGGACUGAGACACGGCCCAGACUCCUACGGGAGGCAGCAGUGGGGAAUUUUGGACAAUGGGCGAAAGCCUGAUCCAGCCAUGCCGCGUGCAGGAUGAAGGCCUUCGGGUUGUAAACUGCUUUUGUACGGAACGGAAAGGUUUGGGCUAAUAAGCUGAGCUCAUGACGGUACCGUAAGAAUAAGCACCGGCUAACUACGUGCCAGCAGCCGCCGUAA